rnacentral:rRNA from 1 species
CUCGUAGUUGGAUUUCUGGCGGGAGGAGCCGGUCUGGUCCGAGAGGACUGCGUACUUGGUUGUCUCUGGCCAUCCUUGCGGAGAGCGCGUGGUGCAUUAAGUUGUUCUGCGCGGGACCCGCAUCGUUUACUGUGAAAAAAUUAGAGUGUUUAAAGCAGGCAUUUGCUUGAAUACAUUAGCAUGGAAUAAUAAGAUAGGACUUUGGUGCUAUUUUGUUGGUUUGCGCACCGUAGUAAUGAUUAAUAGGGAUAGUUGGGGGUAUUCAUAUUUAAUUGUCAGAGGUGAAAUUCUUGGAUUUAUGAAAGAUGAACUUCUGCGAAAGCUUUUACCAAGGAUGUUUUCAUUAAUCAAGAACGAAAGUUAGGGGGAUCGAAGAUGAUUAGAUACCAUCGUAGUCUUAACCCAUAAAACUAUGCCGACUAGGGAUUGGCGGGUCGUUAUUUCAUGACUCCCGUCAGGCACCUUUAUGAGAAAUCAAAGUCUUUGGGUUUCGGGGGGGAGUAUGGUCCGCAAGGCUGAAAACUUUAAAGGAAUUGACGGAAGGGCACCACCAGGAGUGGAGCCUGCGGCUUAAUUUGACUUCAACACGGGGGAAACUUA